GCCCUGAGGUGUGAAUCAUAUUGAAUUGCAAAUUCGAAGAAGCAGCUUCAACUCUGCCGGGGCUU
rnacentral:tRNA from 1 species